CUACGGGGUGCAGCAGUGGGGAAUAUUGCACAAUGGGGGAAACCCUGAUGCAGCGACGCCGCGUGAAGGAUGAAGGAUUUCGGUUCGUAAACUUCUAUCAGCAGGGAAGAUAGUGACUGUACCUGACUAAGAAGCCCCGGCUAACUACGUGCCAGCAGCCGCGGUAAUACGUAGGGGGCAAGCGUUAUCCGGAAUUACUGGGUGUAAAGGGUGCGUAGGUGGCUUGUUAAGCCAGAUGUGAAAGCCCGGGGCUCAACCCCGGGACUGCAUUUGGAACUGGCAAGCUAGAAUACAGGAGAGGUAAGUGGAAUUCCUAGUGUGGCGGUGAUAUGCGUAGAUAUUAGGAGGAACACCAGUGGCGAAGGCGACUUACUGGACUGUUAUUGACACUGAGGCGCGAAAGCGUGGGGAGCGAACAGGAUUAGAUACCCUCGUAGUC
rnacentral:rRNA from 1 species